CGGCGGACGGGUGAGUAAUGUCUGGGAAACUGCCUGAUGGAGGGGGAUAACUACUGGAAACGGUAGCUAAUACCGCAUAACGCCGCAAGACCAAAGAGGGGGACCUUCGGGCCUCUUGCCAUCAGAUGUGCCCAGAUGGGAUUAGCUAGUAGGUGGGGUAACGGCUCACCUAGGCGACGAUCCCUAGCUGGUCUGAGAGGAUGACCAGCCACACUGGAACUGAGACACGGUCCAGACUCCUACGGGAGGCAGCAUG
rnacentral:rRNA from 1 species